CCUACGGGUGGCAGCAGUGGGGAAUAUUGCACAAUGGGGGAAACCCUGAUGUAGCGACGCCGCGUGAGUGAAGAAGUAAUUCGUUAUGUAAAGCUCCAUUAGUCGGGAAGAAAAUGACGGUACCUGAGUAAGAAGCCCCGUCUAACUACGUGCCAGCAGCCGUGGUAACACGUAGGGGGCAAGCGUUAUCCGGAUUUUCUGGGGGUAAAGGGAGCGUAGACGGUAGUGCAAGUCUGGAGUGAAAGGCGGGGGUUCAACCCCCGGACUGCUCUGGAAACUGUACGGCUGGAGUGCAGGAGAGGUAAGUGGAAUUCGUGGUGUAGCGGUGAAAUGCGUAGAUAUUAGGAGGAACACCAGUGGCGAAGGCAGCUUACUGGACUGUAACUGACGUUGAGGCUCGAAAGCGUGGGGAGCAAACAGGAUUAGAUACCCGGGUAGUC
rnacentral:rRNA from 1 species